rnacentral:rRNA from 1 species
GACGUAGGAUGCAAGCGUUGUCCGGAUUUAUUGGGCGUAAAGAGUUCGUAGGUGGUUUGUUAAGUCUGAUGUUAAAGACUGGGGCUCAACCUCGGAAAUGCAUUGGAUACUGGCAGACUUGAGUGUGGUAGAGGCAAUCGGAAUUCCAGGUGUAGCGGUGAAAUGCGUAGAUAUGCGGAGGAACACCGAUGGCGAAGGCAAUCCCCUGGGCCUGCACUGACGCUCAUGCACGAAAGCGUGGGGAGCAAACAGG